CUGUGAGCUCGAUGAGUAGGGCGGGACACGUGGUAUCCUGUCUGAAUAUGGGGGGACCAUCCUCCAAGGCUAAAUACUCCUGACUGACCGAUAGUGAACCAGUACCGUGAGGGAAAGGCGAAAAGAACCCCGGCGAGGGGAGUGAAAAAGAACCUGAAACCGUGUACGUACAAGCAGUGGGAGCACAGAGCAAUCUGUGUGACUGCGUACCUUUUGUAUAAUGGGUCAGCGACUUAUAUUCUGUAGCAAGGUUAACCGAAUAGGGGAGCCGAAGGGAAACCGAGUCUUAACUGGGCGUUAAGUUGCAGGGUAUAGACCCGAAACCCGGUGAUCUAGCCAUGGGCAGGUUGAAGGUUGGGUAACACUAACUGGAGGACCGAACCGACUAAUGUUGAAAAAUUAGCGGAUGACUUGUGGCUGGGGGUGAAAGGCCAAUCAAACCGGGAGAUAGCUGGUUCUCCCCGAAAGCUAUUUAGGUAGCGCCUCGUGAAUUCAUCUCCGGGGGUAGAGCACUGUUUCGGCAAGGGGGUCAUCCCGACUUACCAACCCGAUGCAAACUGCGAAUACCGGAGAAUGUUAUCACGGGAGACACACGGCGGGUGCUAACGUCCGUCGUGAAGAGGGAAACAACCCAGACCGCCAGCUAAGGUCCCAAAGUCAUGGUUAAGUGGGAAACGAUGUGGGAAGGCCCAGACAGCCAGGAUGUUGGCUUAGAAGCAGCCAUCAUUUAAAGAAAGCGUAAUAGCUCACUGGUCGAGUCGGCCUGCGCGGAAGA
rnacentral:rRNA from 1 species